rnacentral:rRNA from 1 species
UACGUAGGGGGCAAGCGUUGUCCGGAUUUAUUGGGCGUAAAGCGCGUGUAGGCGGCCAGAUAGGUCUGCUGUGAAAACUCGAGGCUCAACCUCGAGCUGUCGGCGGAAACCAUCUGGCUAGAGUCCGGAAGAGGAGAGUGGAAUUCCUGGUGUAGCGGUGAAAUGCGCAGAUAUCAUUUGGAACGCCAAUGGUGAAAACAGGUAGCUGGGGCUGUGCUGACACUGAGACACGAAAGCCAGGGGAGCAAACGGG